GACAGAGGCCACGAACGUUGUUCGGAAUCACUGGGCGUAAAGCGCACGUAGGCGGACUUGAAAGUCAGAGGUGAAAGCCCAGGGCUCAACCUUGGAGCUGCCUUUGAAACUUCUGGUCUUGAGGUCGAGAGAGGUGAGUGGAAUUCCGAGUGUAGAGGUGAAAUUCGUAGAUAUUCGGAGGAACACCAGUGGCGAAGGCGGCUCACUGGCUCGAUACUGACGCUGAGGUGCGAAAGCGUGGGGAGCAAACAGG
rnacentral:rRNA from 1 species